UAAAUUAAAUGUUAGUAGGCAGCGGAAAUUAGAAAGUUUAUUUUUUAAUACUUUUAGGUUCAGUGCGAUGUUAUAAAUGUUUUAAAGCCAUUACCCGCUUAAAUAUAUUGCCCGAUGUUGAUUCAUUUGCCAGCCACUUUCCACGCAUUUGCGCCUUAAACGAAAAAACUCCACUUUCGGUGGAGAUGCGCCCCCCAAAAGUCAUUAACAUUUAACCGAUCAAAGCGCCGAGGUGAGCGAAACAGGUGAAAUCAGCCAUUCAAUGCCUCCACCCGCAAUCGGAGCCACAAAAACAGCCGGGAAGAGCAACAAUCGGUGGCGCCAAAAAAGAGAAGAGCGGAAUAUCAAAUUGCAACGCAAAAGUGCCGGCUUUAAUGCCACAGUCGCGGAAACACGCGCUUUAUCAGAUACCCUAUAUCAUUUAGUUUCAACAAAAGGGCGAGCUUUAUUGCCACAGUCGCGGAAACACGCGCUCUAUCAGAUACCCUCUCAACAUGUAUCGUGAAUCUUAAAAGAAAGGGUAUGAGAUAGUGUUGUUAAGAGCGGCGUUUGGUUCCUGCAUUUGCGUUUAAUUACGGAAUAAUCCAAAGCGAUUGCGGAACAGGAAAAUCGAUAUGGAGUGGUAAUGGUGGAUGGGCGGCAGUUCCUGGCGGCUGUGGGCAUCCGUGUCAGUCCCAAUGAUCCAGCGGCGGACAGGCCGUUGACGCUGCUAACCCAAUUAAACUGUCGCCCGACUGAGCAGACAGCAUCCCCCUCAUGGAGUCUAUGGAGUCCACCCCCUGCUCCUCCGACACCCCCACUGCAUUGGCGCCGUGGACCACAUCCACCGAGUAGCAACUGUUGGGUCUGCCGUGCACUGGCACUGUGCCCAAAUAAACCGCAGGAGCAAAAGCCACCGCUCCUCCAUGGCCAGCAACUCCUGCUCAUCGCCCUGCUCAUUCGCUUCGUGGCGCUUCAAUAGCAAUUUGGUUAAACUCCUUUUUAAAUUCAGCCGCACUUCCGACUCACCGGAGUGGAGACUCCUUGGAGUGGAGACAGACUCUGAGAUGUCCUGAGAUUCGGAAUAUAAGUGCUUCUAUAAUAUCUGAGCGGAAUAUAAAACUGCGACCUGAAAUUGAAUCGAAUGUUUUGUUUUGCUUUAGUCCUUGAAAAGUUCCCCCCACUGCCCGAAUAUCCUGUGGAUUCCUGCGGCAGGACAAUUUUCAGCGUCGUAAACGGGCAAAUUUCAUUAGCAUCUCGGGCUAGACAUCAUCUGCCGAACAAAAGACGGCGAAAAGAAAUCUCCGGAAUGAAACCAUUUCACUCAGUCUGUC